rnacentral:rRNA from 1 species
GUACACUCCUGCGGGAGGCAGCAGUGGGGAAUUUUGGACAAUGGGCGAAAGCCUGAUCCAGCCAUGCCGCGUGCAGGAUGAAGGCCUUCGGGUUGUAAACUGCUUUUGUACGGAACGAAACGGCCUUUUCUAAUAAAGAGGGCUAAUGACGGUACCGUAAGAAUAAGCAACGGCUAACUACGUGCCAGCAGCCGCGGUAAUACGUAGGGUGCAAGCGUUAAUCGGAAUUACUGGGCGUAAAGCGUGCGCAGGCGGUUAUGUAAGACAGUUGUGAAAUCCCCGGGCUCAACCUGGGAACUGCAUCUGUGACUGCAUAGCUAGAGUACGGUAGAGGGGGAUGGAAUUCCGCGUGUAGCAGUGAAAUGCGUAGAUAUGCGGAGGAACACCGAUGGCGAAGGCAAUCCCCUGGACCUGUACUGACGCUCAUGCACGAAAGCGUGGGGAGCAAACAGGAUUAGAUACCCUUGUAGUCCCAU